rnacentral:rRNA from 1 species
GUGGCGGACGGGUGAGUAACGCGUAGGAAUCUGCCCUAAAAUGGGGGACAACUCAGCGAAAGUUGAGCUAAUACCGCAUAAUCUCUUCGGAGCAAAGCAGGGGACCUUCGGGCCUUGUGCUUUAGGAUGAGCCUGCGUCGGAUUAGCUUGUUGGUGGGGUAACGGCCUACCAAGGCGACGAUCCGUAGCUGGUCUGAGAGGACGAUCAGCCACAUUGGGACUGAGACACGGCCCAAACUCCUACGGGAGGCAGCAGUCGGGAAUAUUGGACAAUGGGCGCAAGCCUGAUCCAGCAAUGCCGCGUGUGUGAAGAAGGCCUACGGGUUGUAAAGCACUUUCAGUAGAGAAAAAAAACUUAAGGUUAAUACCCUUGAGCCUUGAUGUUAUCUACAGAAGAAGCACCGGCUAACUCUGUGCCAGCAGCCGCGGUAAUACAGAGGGUGCAAGCGUUAAUCGGAGUUACUGGGCGUAAAGCGUGCGUAGGCGGAUAUUCAAGUCGGGUGUGAAAGCCCCGGGCUUAACCUGGGAAUUGCAUUCGAUACUGGGUAUCUAGAGUAUGAUAGAGGAAAGUGGAAUUUCCGGUGUAGCGGUGAAAUGCGUAGAUAUCGGAAAGAACACCAGUGGCGAAGGCGACUUUCUGGAUCAACACUGACGCUGAGGUGCGA